rnacentral:lncRNA from 1 species
GGCAGUUCAGGGGGUAUUCUGGUUGCCUUACCCAGCUCUGAAGUCUGUCAGCCUCUUCAGAUGUCACUUGCCCUGUGGUAAGGAAGUGUAGUUGGCAGCUGGUGCAGUGGCAAGAAGAGAAAGGAAGUUCCCCAAGACAGAAACAUCUCAGCAGACUCCAUCAUGAAUUCAUGGCACCACACAGUCCCCUGAUGCUAUAACAUCAUGGAUUUCUUUUGUCCAGUGAGAGGCCCAAAAGCUGCAGCACAGACAAUAUCAUAGUGUAGAAGUUUAACUAGACCGUGAUCAUGGGCUACAUUCUCCAUACCAGCUUCAUAGCUCCAGUGAGAAAAUAAAUUCCUGCACCCAGGAGACGUGGAGUAAGAGAUACAGCUGCCCUUGACCAUAUUUCUUACUUCCGAGAAGAUUGUAGCAGUAAUUCAGGUGAGGUUCACGGGCACCAUCGCAGGCUCUACCUGACACAGCAAGUAUUCUCCAGUCUGCAGAUUUCUCAGUCUUCACUUAUUUUUUGUGAACUUGACUUUUUUGAAAAGUACAGAAUCUCAUCCAGGAUACCUCAUCACAGUGUCUCACUCUCUCGCCCAGGCUGGAGUGCAGUGUCAUGAGCUUGGCUCACUACAGCCUCCAUCUUCUGUGCUUAAGGAUCCUUCCCUCUCAGCCUCCAGGGUAGCUGAGACUGCAGGUUUAGAAUAGUUCACCAGUGAAGUCAUCUCAACCAGCACAGGGCCUUGACUCCUAACAACAAUCACACGAACUUGGAAGAGGAGCCUUCCCCAACUGAACCUUCGCUUGAGACCUCGUCCUUGGCCAUCCUCUACAUCUGGAUUCAUGAUACAGAGAAACUUGAGUAAUGAUGACACUAGCAGUCCAGCCUGCAUGGAUGCUGACAUGGAUGCUGUCUCCCAUUCUUACCACUGGAUGGGAAGAAAUGCUAGAUGCAAUCCAGCCAGUCUGUACUCGACUGUCAGUUCCAUCUUCUCAACUCACAGUGUCUUCCAAAGUCCGUGCCACACCACAGCCUGGAACAUCUCCCAAGGUUUCAAAUAAUUCAUCAGUGAAUUCUUCUCAACCUGGUCAAUCAUGUGAACUUAGAAGAUGAUUCCUCCCCAGCUGAUCCUCAGGGAACACUAAGACCCAUUCUUCUUCUCAAGUAUCCAAAAAUAAAGUUGAUCCAAGUAAGAAGUGGACAGCAUAAAAGAUUGUAUGGAAGCUAUAAUGCAUCUACAUCUGCAGUAACUAAUCAUAAAAUGAUUUGUAUGAUCAUUCUUCACAUGAUUAGAAUUACUAUGGGAAAGAAGAAAAAGAAAUGCCUCUCUGGAUGGUGACUAUAACCUAUAGCCUUGCCCAAUAUGACUCAGGAUUUGGUACUGGCUGUGCCUUUCAUGGGAUGCUUACUUAUCCUGGUCGAUGGCCUAAAGCCCAACCGUCCAGCUUAUAUCCAGGGUCUCAAGCCACCCAGGCUGGAGUGCAGUGGCACAAUUAUGGCUCACUGUAGCCUCACCUUCCUGGGAUCAAGCAAUCUUCUUUCUUCAGCCUCCAGAGGAGCUGGGACCACAGAUCCUUUGGCAUUUGAGAGUUGCUUUGUGUAUACGGUCCUUUAACGGAGCAAAUGGCCAGCCAGGAAACCAAAGUAUGGACAAGGGGAAAGAAGCGUCUGUGGAGGAAGUUUUACAAGCGCCCUCCUCAUCCAUUUGGGUGGUGUUGCCCAUAUGCUACAUGUCUGUGGACCACUAUGUGUGUUUAAAGCUUUUUAGUAAAACGUUACUAAAAA